CGGUGACGUGGAGCAAACCUCAGAAAGCCAAUCUCAGUUCGGAUUGUAGGCUGCAACUCGCCUACAUGAAGUUGGAAUCGCUAGUAAUCGCGAAUCAGAAUGUCGCGGUGAAUACGUUCCCGGGUCUUGUACACACCGCCCGUCACACCACGAGAGUUUACAACACCCGAAGUCAGUGGCCUAACCGCAAGGAGGGAGCUGCCUAAGGUGGGGUAGAUGAUUGGGGUGAAGUCGUAACAAGGUACC
rnacentral:rRNA from 1 species